GAAUGAGGUGCAGCGGAAAUUCUGUUGAUCCUUCUUCCCAAGAUAGUGCAUUAACAGCAUUCUGGAAGGACUAAGGGACUUCUGACACUCCCAGCUGAAGUACAAGAAAAGGACUUCACACAACUGAAGUACAAGAAAAGACUUUCUGCUACAUUUUAGAAACCAAAGUGAAGGGGUGGACAUAUGGAUGCUUGGAUACCUGUCUAAUACAGCAUCAAGACACAGCUGAAGUUUACACCCAGCCCUGGUUAACUAACUUUAUGGUUCUCAUUACCUGAAUCAACAAAUAGCUUUAAGAUGGCUGCAUGGAUACUCCUUUCAUGAAUUGUUUUCUAUAAUGUUGUUGAUAUUUGUGGAAGCUGCUAAAGAUGGAAAAGUGGUCACUUGGGAAGGCACUACACUGCACAACUGUUCCUCCUACAGCUGCUGGGGUGCUGCUCCAGGAUGCAGUUUCAAACUCACAAAUAUCUGUGCAGAUACACACAUAUGAGCCUUCCAAGACAUGCAAAUCUCUGCCAUCCUUCUGUGGUAUCACCACUGCCAGACAAGUCAACUGCAAUGCAAAGCCAAGGAGCAGGACUCAGGAAACCCUCCUGCUUUCAUGUUUGGCUUUCCCUGGGAGAAGCUGCAGGAUGCGGCGGAAUUUCUUUCUUCUUUGUGUCUGUGUUGGCUGAAGCAGGACAGAGGAGCUUGAAAAGGCUCGCCCUCCUCAAGGAACGCUAUCUGAUUCGUAAGCAUUCCUAGAGGUUAAGGCUGGUGACUAUCAAGAAAGCAAAUACUUCACGCAAGGGUAAGUCCUCUAAUUGUGUUUGUGUUGAAUAACUGCCAGAUCCCCAUGUCAGGAUGUCUGCAGUCAUGGCUCUGAUCUCACCAUUCCUUCCUCGGCUCUUGCACAAUUGUGUUGCAUGUUUGUGGUACAGGAGAAAGUUGGAGAGCUGGGCUAUGAAACCAUCUCAGGGAAGGAAGCCAUGUUUUAUUUUAGUUGCUUGGUUUGGAUAAAAGCCUGUGGGAGAUGGAAUAACAUAAAAAAAUCCCCAUAAUGCAGCCCAUUCAUGGAAAACAAACCUGGUUUUCUCUACAGAUAUGUGAAAUAUGAGAUUUGAUAGCCAGGUUGGAAAAGGAAAUGUCAAUAAAAAUGUGUUUGCUAGUGUAGUGGAAAUCCUUACGUACAUAUGUGUGAAGUUAUUACUUGUUCUACCUGGACUCUCACCUGUGAUUGCAAGGUCUGUUGGGGUCAGGCUUGUAAAUUCAAAAAGGGAACUUUUGAAAAACUGGUUAUGAAUCUGCUCCUCUGAUGGAUCAGUUCAAGGAUCUGUUGUGGGAGGGAAGCCACAAAGCUGUGACAAAUAACAGGUUACAAGAGAGGAGAGAAACCCAAAGAUACUGGAUUGAGCUUAGCAGGAGAGAGGGAAGGGAAGAACAUCAUAAUUCCAUCCAGCCAUUGCAGAAGAGUUUUGAGGACUCUCAGAACAAGCAAGGAUUGAAAGCCACUCAGGUUACACAAAUAUUCAAUCCUGAAAGAAGACAGCAGUUGCCUUAGCCACAGAAAUGUUGAUUAAAAGUAAUAUCCUGGUCAGUCUCAGUACCAUAAAUCUAUCCUAGAUGAUAAAGCUGUGCAUUAUCCCUGUUUGGUUAGAACAAAGCAAAUGUCACAGAGGUCUAAUUUUAAUACAGAAAAAUAGUAAGAGGUUGAGUUAAUCUAUGACCAUCAUGUCGUCUCACAUAAUAAAAUCUGGUGAGCUGGUAGCAGUGCUCCAGGAGGAUGUCAGUUCCACUUCCUAAACCAGGAAGGGGAGAAUUAUCCAGAGCAAUAAAGAGCUUGUACAAAUAAUACGAGGGAAAUCAGAAGUUAAUCUGAAUACUAACUCAAUCUAAUCAGUAGGAACAGCUCCCUGCCAACUGCUCCGUUACCUGAAACAGGGGUCAACUGAUAGACAUCAGCCGGUCCUCUCAUUAAAAAAACACAGCUAACAACCCCCCUUCAUCUCCAGAUCUCAAAUUCCAUCGUUCCUGAUAAGCACUAACCAGUUCCUCAUCUCUCAUUUGCAGUUCAUAUCCUGAGCUACACAGAUUUGUGUUAGAGAUAAGGAUAUGAGAAAGCAAAGCCAUAUUAAUGCACAUGCUGCAACCUGCGAGCCUCUCCAGGGCUGCCGUGCCUGGCGCUGGAAACUGGGGUGGUCAGUGGGUCUGCGCUGGGAUUUGGGAUCUGGCCACACCCCGCUUGUUUGGCAACCUCAGCCCCGAUGAACACAGUCAAGGAAAGCACUGUGAGCCACCUGGGUGGGGAAACAGAUGGCUGGCAAAAAAGGAAGCAAGCAAGGAAGAAUGGGAGUGAGAAGGGGAAAGAAGGACAGGGAGCUGUAAUCCCAAAUUUAUGAAAGAUGUCACCCAGCUGCCAUCACACCAUGUUAGCUACUUUUGGAUUCUCAUCCCAUGCUCGCCACUGUUAGAUAUUUGUCAGAGCUAAAGGCAAACCAAUAUUUUCUGUCUUUGCCUUUCAGCAUGGGUGAGGUUUCAGUGUCCUAAAAAACAGGUAACACAAAUCAGUGUUGGCAUUCAGAUGGCAACCAGUAAAAGGUGGUUCCUGAAUCUGUGUUCUGGGGUUUGAGUCAAACAUUUCUCUUCAGCCAUUUGUCCAAUGUUUUUCUAAAUUUUUGGAAAGGUACAGAACUUUUGCUUUUCUUGGUAGCUGAGAGAAAUAAGGCUUGAGUCAGCUGCACCACAAUGCAGAAUUCUUCUUUACAACAGGUUAGAGGCUUCCCAGAGAAAAUCGCUCUUUUCCGUUCUGCAGACUUUGGUUCUUCAUGUGUUUUAGAUUUGCAGAUAAACUAGUCAAAACUAAUCAAAAGCAAAACAGAACACAACCAAUAUAAAAUCCCCCAACUACCUUUUUAAAGGUCA